AGGGGCUUAGCUCAGUGGCAGAGCGACUGCUUGGCAUUCAGAACAUCCUGGGUUCAAUCCCCAAGGUCUCCA